rnacentral:rRNA from 1 species
AUCGCAGUCUGCAACCCGACUGCGUGAAGUCGGAAUCGCUAGUAAUCGCGGAUCAGCAUGCCGCGGUGAAUACGUUCCCGGGCCUUGUACACACCGCCCGUCACACCAUGAGAGCCGAUAACACCCGAAGCCUGUGAGCUAACCGUAAGGGGGCAGCAGUCGAAGGUGGGGUUGGUGAUUGGGGUGAAGUCGUAACAAGGUAAC